CCUACGGGAGGCAGCAGUGAGGAAUAUUGGUCAAUGGUCGCGAGACUGAACCAGCCAAGCCGCGUGAGGGAUGAAUGUCCUGAGUGUCGUAAACCUCUUUUAUCAGGGAACAAAGACUGGGACGCGUCCCCUUUUGUGUGUACCUUAUGAAUAAGCAUCGGCUAACUCCGUGCCAGCAGCCGCGGUAAUACGGAGGAUCCGAGCGUUAUCCGGAUUUAUUGGGUUUAAAGGGUGCGUAGGCGGGUUGAUAAGUUAGAUGUGAAAUGUCGCGGCUCAACCCUGAAACUGCAUCUAAUACUGUCGGACUUGAGUAUAGUUGAGGUAGGCGGAAUGCAUGGUGUAGCGGUGAAAUGCUUAGAGAUCACACAGAACACCGAUUGCGAAGGCAGCUUACUAAACUACAACUGACAUUGAGGCACGAAAGCGUGGGUAGCAAACAGGAUUAGAUACCCGGGUAGUC
rnacentral:rRNA from 1 species